rnacentral:miRNA from 7 species
UUGUGGCCCUCUGCUGGACUCUUUCCAGGAAAUCCCUGUCUUUUUCGUACCAGGGAGCACAGAACUGGACACAGUACUCCAGGUGAGGCCU